GAAGGAAAGCCAUAACUAAAUUGAUAUUGGUCCCCGCUCGCAGCUUAGCAAGUAGCAAAGCGAUGAUUCAUUAUUAUUAUUAGUAAUUAAUUCCAUGUUGCUGGACGAAAGUACCUAAACUAAUUAUGCACUCCGCGCAAUCAAAGAUGAAAAAACUCCCCAACGUCCCAAGAGCCAUGUAGCCAUCCAUGUACUCUACUCUGUAUCUCUGCUUUUGUGAGCGUUCGUGAAUGGAUUAAGGGCUCUAAUAUGCAUACACCUUAAAAUGAGUUCAGGUUCUUCCCCAUCUGUAAAGCCUAGAGCUACCUAGGACUCGUACUAUUAUUACUGCUUAGUUUGAUUCUAGGUAAUGCAACCAUGCUCCAACAGUGCAUUUGCUGCACCAUCAUGUGAGGAUUUUCCUUUUUAUUGGUUUUGCUGGACACACCAUUUUAGGUCUUUCUAAAAUCAGGGGCUGGCAAUGUAUGGUUUCGCAAUAUAUUCAAAUUGUUGAUUGAAAGAAUAUCAAGCCUUGAUCUUGUUAGCUUGCAUGUACUGCAUAUUGAGGAUGAGAACACACACACAAAGUAAAAAAGAAGGGAUGAGAAUUGAGAACAA
rnacentral:lncRNA from 1 species